rnacentral:rRNA from 1 species
UACGUAGGGGGCAAGCGUUGUCCGGAAUCAUUGGGCGUAAAGCGCGUGUAGGCGGCUCGGUAAGUCUGCUGUGAAAGUCCAGGGCUCAACCCUGGGAUGCCGGUGGAUACUGUCGAGCUCGAGUCCGGAAGAGGCGAGUGGAAUUCCUGGUGUAGCGGUGGAAUGCGCAGAUAUCAGGAAGAACACCAACGGCGAAGGCAGCUCGCUGGGACGGUACUGACGCUGAGACGCGAAAGCGUGGGGAGCGAACAGG